AGUCACUGACAUUAGAUACCCGUGUAGUCCAGGGUGUAAACGCUGCAGACUUGGUGUUGGAGGCCCUUUGGGGGCAUUCAGUGCCGGAGAGAAGUUGUUAAGUCUGCUACUUGGGGAGUACGUCCGCAAGGAUGAAACUUAAAGGAAUUGGCGGGGGAGCACCGCAACGGGAGGAGCGUGCGGUUUAAUUGGAUUCAACACCGUAAAACUCACCAGGGAAGACUGUUACAUGAAGGCCGAGAUGAAGACUCUGCCAGAUUUUCAG
rnacentral:rRNA from 1 species